GGGGCCCUGGCCCUGUACUGGGGGCUGGUAAGACACAGUUCUUAUCCUCCAGGAACUCGCAGUCCAGGGAGGGAGAGAAAAGGACACAAGAAUAAAUACUGCAGGGCAAUGUGGAGACUGGUGAUGGAGGACUGGUUCAUCAGAGGAGGGAGUGGGCAGAGAGAAGUGCCACCCACUUUAUGGAUGUGAGGCAGGAAGACCUGGAAGACUGCCUGGAGGAGGAUCAACUGUGGUGGAGAAUCUGCCUCCAGGCUCUCUUGUGUGGCUGCCUGGGCCUCUCCACAGGCUGCCUGAGUGUCCUUACCACAUGGCAGCUGGCCAGCUGAGAGAGUGCCAGAG
rnacentral:lncRNA from 1 species